rnacentral:rRNA from 1 species
AGGGAAUAUUGCGCAAUGGGGGCAACCCUGACGCAGCAACGCCACGUGUGGGAAGAAGCAUUUCGGUGUGUAAACCACUGUCGAGAGGGAAAAACCGGCGGCUUCGGCCGCCCUGAUGGUACCUCUAAAGGAAGCACCGGCAAACUUCGUGCCAGCAGCCGCGGUAAUACGAGGGGUGCAAGCGUUGUUCGGAAUCACUGGGCGUAAAGGGAGCGUAGGUGGAAUUGCAAGUGAACCGUGCUAUACCGGGGCCCAACCCCGGACUCGCGGUUCAGACUGCAGUUCUUGAGUUAUUCAGAGGUAGACGGAAUUCCUGGUGUAGCGGUGGAAUGCGUAGAGAUCAGGAAGAACACCGAUGGCGAAGGCAGUCUACUGGGGAUUAACUGACACUGAGGCUCGAAAGCGUGGGUAGCAAAC